AUAUCAAUAAGCGGAGGAAAAGAAACUAACAAGGAUUCCCCUAGUAACUGCGAGUGAAGCGGGAAAAGCUCAAAUUUAAAAUCUGGCGGUUUCUGGACUGUCCGAGUUGUAAUCUAGAGAAGUGUUUACCUGUGCUGGACCGUGUACAAGUCUCCUGGAAUGGAGCAUCAUAGAGGGUGAGAAUCCCGUCUUUGACACGGACUACCCGUACAUUAUGGGUGCGCUCUCGAAGAGUCGAGUUGUUUGGGAAUGCAGCUCAAAAUGGGUGGUAAAUGCCAUCUAAAGCUAAAUAUUGGCGAGAGACCGAUAGCGAACAAGUACCGUGAGGGAAAGAUGAAAAGAACUUUGGAAAGAGAGUUAAACAGUACGUGAAAUUGCUGAAAGGGAAACGCUUGAAGUCAGUCGCGUUGGCUGGAAAUCAGCCUUGCUUUUGCUUGGUGUAUUUUCUGGUCCGACGGGUCAGCAUCAAUUUUGACCAUUGGAUAAAGUCUUUUUGGGAAUGUGGCAUCUUUUGGAUGUGUUAUAGCCCAUGGUCGCAUACAGUGGUUGGGAUUGAGGAACUCAGCACGCCGCAAGGCCGGGUUUCGACCACGUUUCCGUGCUUAGGAUGCUGGCAUAAUGGCUUUAAUCGA
rnacentral:rRNA from 1 species